AUCCAGCCGAAGAGUCCCGAAUAGGACGAAACGCGGGUCAAACUGGAU
rnacentral:hammerhead_ribozyme from 1 species